rfam:Oryctolagus cuniculus chromosome 2, whole genome shotgun sequence.
GACCAGCUAGCUCAGUCAGUAGAGCAUGAGACUCUCAAUCUCAGGGUCGUGGGUUCAAGCCCCACAUUGGGCA